AAUACGAAGGGGGCUAGCGUUGUUCGGAAUUACUGGGCGUAAAGCGCACGUAGGCGGACAUUUAAGUCAGGGGUGAAAUCCCAGAGCUCAACUCUGGAACUGCCUUUGAUACUGGGUGUCUAGAGUAUGGAAGAGGUGAGUGGAAUUCCGAGUGUAGAGGUGAAAUUCGUAGAUAUUCGGAGGAACACCAGUGGCGAAGGCGGCUCACUGGUCCAUUACUGACGCUGAGGCGCGAAAGCUAGGGGAGCGAACA
rnacentral:rRNA from 1 species